ensembl:lncRNA
AAAAAAAUAAAAAUAAAAAAGCUGUAAUUUCAGCUUACCUUGUUUCAAAGUUUUUUUUUUUUUUUAAUCUUAAAAGAUGAAAAAUAAUAAACAUCGCCGGCCAGUUAAUCUCUCUGGUUACUGUUUAACUGCUGUGCAGCUGCUCUGUAAGUGAGUGGGUGGGACCACCCUGUGGUCUGUUACAUUGACACCUCUCUCUCUGUCUCUCCAGUCUUCCCCUUUUCACCUUACGCCCGCAUUCAUUCACUCUGCAGCUGCAUCACCCGACCACUUUCUCUCAGCCGAGCUCUCACUCUUUCUGUCUGUAUUUGUCUCAUCCAGUCCAGAAGAUGGAUGGAAGAGGCUCUAAAACAGGACAACAAUAGUCGCUAGCGCAAGAAAACACUCACAGGUGGACUUGCGACUGCUGCUAUUCUCCUCGCUCGUGCCGGUAACACUGUAUGUGGAAAUUGCCAUCAUUCUUCAGGAAACCUGUCAGCUCCCC